AGCUGGGGAGCGGCUGCGGGCGCGAGGCCUGAGGAUGAUCUUUCCUGUCGUCCGCUACGCGCUCCGGUGGCUGCGACGGCCCGAAGACCGUGCCUUUUCCCGCGCCGCCAUGGAGGUGGCCCUCCGAGGCGUGCGGAAAGUCCUCUGUGUGGCCGAAAAAAACGACGCGGCCAAGGGGAUCGCCGACCUGCUGUCAAACGGUCGCAUGAAGCGGAGAGAAGGACUUUCAAAAUUCAACAAGAUCUAUGAAUUUGAUUAUCACCUGUAUGGCCAGGUAGGUGCUAACAUAUUUCCGUCAUAAGCAAGAGAAAAGUAGUCAGCCUCGUCAUAUGUAGAAUAUGUCACUGUCUUAAGAAUAACAACUGUUAACAACCUAAAGGUUCCUGGAUAUGGGGUGAUCACUUUAUAAUUUAUGAGGAGUUCUCUUUUUAAUAAAAUAUGGUCCCAUCUCAGCUCUUCAUUGC
rnacentral:sRNA from 1 species